rnacentral:rRNA from 1 species
AUUGAACGCUGGCGGCGUGCCUAAUACAUGCAAGUCGAACGCAGUGGGGACGGGUGAGUAACACGUGGGUAACCUCCCAUCAGAGGGGAUAACACUUGGAAACAGGUGCUAAACCGAUAGUGAUGGAUGGAGCCGCGGUGCAUUAGCUAGUGGGGGAGGUAACGGCUUACCAGGGCCUCGAUGCAUAGCCGACCUGUGAGGGUGAUCGGCCACACUGGGACUGGUACACGGCCCAGCAUCGUACGGGAGGCAGCAGUAGGGAAUCUUCGGCAAUGGACGAAAGUCUGACCGAGCAACGCCGCGUGAGUGAAGAAGGUUUUCGGAUCGUAAAACUCUGUUGUUAGAGAAGCGGUAUCUAACCAGAAAGCCACGGCUAACUACGUGCCAGCAGCCGCGGUAAUUC